ensembl:lncRNA
AUGUACUGUGCUCUUGAGGGAAAAAACACUAUCUCUAGGCUUGUCCUAUACUAUACUUUGGUUGUAGACUUAAAGGUUUACAAUAUGGAUGAAUUUUACAAGAUCUCGUCCACUGAGAGAGUCCAGCAGUUGGAAAAAGAACUAGCUGUUCAACUGGCAGAGCUGAAGACAGAAAUAGAAGACAAUGGGGUACUGCAGGGAACACCAGAUAGAGCUUACAGCUCUGUUCCGAUACCAAAGGACGCUUCGUAUUUCAGAAAAGAAAGGGAGGUGAUACUGAAGAAAGUUUUACAGUUUUUUACAGACAGAAUUACCCAUCUGGUCCAGAGUAAAUACUUACACAUGCUUAGAUGGAAGAGAUUUUGUAGGCACAGCAGUGUUAUUGAACAGCUUUAUCCCCUCUAUCAGAAACAAAUUGGUCACAUUAUGCAGGAGUACAACGAUGCUGUUCAGAGGGCUGCGAGACUGUCGGCUGCACGACAGAACUUCCUGACAGGAAAGAAAAAUUCUGUAACUAUAGUGACACAGGAAGACCUGGUUAUUUACAUGCAGUGGUUAGUGUGUCACCUACACUCUCUCAAGGCCAUUCACAGCUAUCUUAGGGUACUCCAGUAUUUGCCUAUCUCUCACAGAAUGGAGGUGGUUAUUGAGAAACACCCUGAGGUGGCCCAGGAUAAUGGGGACAAAUUCAGAAGUGCCACUAUGUCUGAAUCCUUAUCCUCUAAUAUUCACUUCUCCCUUUGCCCCAGCAUUUCAGGAAGAGAGGGACCACACAGCAAGGAUGCUGUAUUCACGCUGCCCCAACACACAACAGAGACUGAAGAAUUGAAACCUCAGCUCCGACUUUUGCUUUCUCACUUUGGUGUCUGCUGUGAUACGGAGAAUCUCAAGAACUCUGCUAAUGAGAUGGAGCUUUUUUCCCUGGUCAUCCGGAAAUUUCGAAGUGUCUUCAGCAAACAGCAGACAAUGAGAACCUUUCCAGUGUAUGAUGCAGGGGUGCCUGGGGCAGAAAACUGGGGUAUUUUAGGACCUAGCAUGGCUUUGAAAAAGAGAGCCAACUGGAUUCCUUUUAUAAAGGUAGAAAUAAGUGAUUUAUUUUUCCCUUUUUGCUCUGUUGAUAAACUAUUGUAACUGCAAUUCAGAAUGUAGUAAGACGCUUUCCAGCCAUUUACUUUUAAAAUGACCCAGUAAUGACCCAUUUUUAUUUGUUUUGAAAAUUCCAAAACCAUGUCUAACUACUGUCAUAUACACGGGGUCUAUUUCUGAUUUCACUUCAGGCAAAAAAGUGAAUUAAAAUGAAUGUAAUGCAUAUACUUUAUUGUGUAUAUUGGCUUCUAUUCACAUACAACAUUUAAGUCCUAUUUAUAAAUUUUGCCCUGGCUUGUCUGUCAACCAGAUUAAGCCCAAACAAGAUCCCUGGCAGCAAAAGCUUUUGGCAAAACUGAAACAAUGGAAAAAAGUGGAUGAACUAUUGCAUCUUCAAUCAAAGUUUUUAGAGGUGAGUAAAUAGACUAUUUUAAAUAUAUUCUAUUUAUUUACCGAGUACUCUCAGGGA